AUUUUGUGAAAUGAAGUUGUCACCUGCCUUGCCACUCUGUUGUGUUUGGAAAGUCCUGGGAGAUAAUAGUCUGCGUGCUUUGAAAAUAAGGAAUACAUUAUAAAUGCUAAAUAAUAAUAAUAACAAUAAUAACAGGGAGUCUUUAAUGACAGGGGUCCUUUAAUAAUACUCAUCAAGUAUAAUAGCAUCACUAACCAGUAGGAACAAGACAGAGUGCGUCGGUCGUCUUAAUCAUUAGUUUGUCUCUUGGGAAAUUGGUGGGGGAUUGACGCCUCACACGGAGCCCCCACGGGCUUGCCAAUCCGGUCACUCCUGGCUCCCGGAAUAACACUUGUUUCUCUUUAAGAAGGCGAGCGGUGUAACUGGGGUGGGUGGGGCAGAGGUAUCCCACCUCACCUCCUAAACCCAGAGAGCAGGAUUAUAAAAUUCCAGCUCAUAGCUGGUUGGAGAAACAAAGAAAAGUAGACUUGGGACCCAUGAUAGCAAAGGGCUCGAGGGGCAACGGCCAAUGUGGCCACCUGAUCCUGCCACGAGGUGGCGACAAUCCAGCUGGAAAGACCCGCUGGGGAUGGCACUGAUGGUUGGCGACCGAGAAAGGAACUUCCACAGACACAAAGACAGGAUCUUCGGAACCGAGAAGAGGCGUUUGUCUUCUUCACCAGCAGUACCUCGAGAGUGGACGUGAUGAAAGCGGCUUGGAGAAGGAACGAGAAGCUCCUUUCUCAUUCCCCGGGCUUCCGCUUCCCAGGCUGCAAUCUUUGGUGUGGGGAGGGUUUUGUGAAAAAAAAAAAAAUCACCCGAAAAAGUCCAGGUUUGACCCCCUCCCUGCCGCCCGGAGGCCAGCCAGAUGCUUCCCCGCAUUCUCAGGAUUCCGGCCCGUGAGAGGACGAUUUUGAGCUCAGCCACACGCCUCGGCCCAGGAUCCUACUGCAACCGCGGCGAGUCAGACACCGCCGGGCAGGACGAUCCGGCGAGCUCACCCGGAGGCCGGACCUUGGAGGGGGCUGAACCCUGGCUCUGGGGCGCGCAGCAGCCGUAGGGUGUGUCCGCAGCUCGGCUGCACCCGGCUCCUGGGAAAAUGUCCGGAGCUGGGCGAGGCUAGGGGGUGGGUGCUCUCCUUGUUUUGUUUGGUUGUGAAUGCGAGGAACCGCCACACCCUCGUUUGUUUCAGGAGGGAGGGAGCUGGCUUUGAAACUCCGCUGUUAGGAAACUCGCAAUAGGGCGGUUAGGAAACUCCAGUCCAAGGACUGUCCUGAUCUGUAGAGCCUGGGCCGUGGCCCGCCUGGCCGCGGUGCUCCAGCCAUUGGCCUGCCUGGCCGCCACCAGCGAAUCCACGUCUCUCCAUGUCCCUCGGGCUUGGACCUCGAUUUCUUCUGACAGAAUUAUUGGGACUAUAGGAGACCAUAUGAACAAAACAACAAAACACUCUGAAAGAUGCUUCAAAAUCUAGAACUGUAACACAAUUCCUGGACAUUCCUGCUGGAAGGACAGAAGACUGGGGUGAUGAAAGUGGCCCAAGCAUUUUGAAGAUGACUCAUAGAGGCGACCUCAGAGCCGGAAACUGUGACUCAGCAUGGCAAAGGCAGUCAUACCAGUGACUCAUUGUGAUACCACACUGUGUUGAAAAAUCUCGUUCCUUAGCAUUUGGGGUGGGGUGAACGUUGUACAAACCAAGAAGGCACAGGAACCCAGGGAGUAAACCAUGUCUCACCAGUUUUCUCAUAUCCUAUUUCCAAGCUGUACAAGGGGGAAAAAUUAUCCAUGUAUUAGCUACUUUUCUAUUGCUGAGAUAAAACAUCAUUGUAUGUGUGAGAGCCAAAGUUAUGUUUUAUGUUUUAAUUACUGUGCUUAAGAUAUCCAUAAAACAAAAAUGCCUGUAGCCUGCAAGCCCUUUGCCCAAGGACAGAAAUCUCCUGAGAUACUGGAGGCUGUUGUUCAUAUAAGGUAACAAGCCUAAACAAGUUUGGUUUGAAGGGACCAGCUUCCCUUUUGGCAGCCAUAACGGCUUGUCUUAGUCAUUAGAAAGUCAGAUGCCUGCCUCAUGACAAGGAACCAAUCAGAAGUUAGUCAGUCACUAGAAAGUCAGAUGCCUGCCUCGUGACAAGGAACCAAUCAGAAGUUAGCUGGUGGCGCUAUGCUUUACAACCCUGUGUGUACAUUACGGACAAGCACACAGCAAUGACGCACAGAGCAUAGCAACCACCCUGGGAGGGCCUAUAGGCCAUAACAACCAGUUGACCAAUCAACUCAGGGCAAGCCCUCCAAGGCUGGAGGCACACCAAUUGUGAGCCUGUGCGUACCCCUAGACACUCCCCUUACGCUGCCCUAUAAGAUCUCGGUCCUGUGGCUUCUCAGAGUCUUUGCUAGCCAUCUGCCAUGGCAGGUGGGUGAAAGACCCGAGCUAACAUGGGGUUAGCUCGUUAAAUUACAAUAAAGCCUCAUGCAGUUUGCAGCAAGCUCUCAAAUCUGCCUGGUGAUUGGGGUGACCGCAGUCGUGGCCUGGGACCCCGGAUACCUGAGUUUUCCGGGGGUCUAACAGGUUGAUUCACAUGCAUGGGAUGAGUCUGUAUAGCAUGAACCACAUGUCUUAAAUCUCCUCCACCAGCUAGGGAUCAAGUAUUCAAAUACUUAAAACUAUGCUGACAUCUCAAUCAAACCACUACAGUCUAUAGUAAUUUCAUUUAGGCCUCAGGUUCCCAAGCCUAGCAAGGGGGUGUAGUCUUUUGUUUUGUUUUUCAAGUUACAGUUUCUCUAUGUAGCCUUGGCUGUCUUAGAACUAGCUCUGUAGACCAAGUUGGCCUCAAACUCACAGAGAUCUGCCUGCCUCUGACUCUUGAGUACUGGGACUAAAGUCGUGCACCACCACUGCCCGGCUUGAGGGU
ensembl:lncRNA